rnacentral:lncRNA from 1 species
UCUAAGACUUGCGGUAUUUGAGAGCUUCAAAACGUGCAGCAAGAGUAUCAUAGUCUGGUAAUCUAGGGUGAACUCGAGGAAAUGAAUCCUGUUUCCCUUGCAUUCCAGGUGCCUGUGGUGCAGGCCUGUGAGGUGGCUGGUUCAUUCCUUGUCCAGGUUUCUCCAUCUCAAUUUCCUCAUCAACAUCUGAUUCAUCAAAUUUGACAUCUGACUUUGCAGGAGGGACAGUGUAGCUGUGCCUUCUAAGAUUUAAAGGUGGUUCUUCCACGUCAAUUUCUUCGUCGCAAUCUGAGUCAUCAAAUUUGAUAUCAGAACGAGCAGAUGGAACAUUAUAGCUAUGCCUUCGAUAAACCUUUGGUGUGUCGAAAUUGUUAUGUUCAGCACUUGAGGAAUGAGAAUUUUCAGAACUCCGCCGCUUGAUGCUCUUCUG